rnacentral:rRNA from 1 species
UUUGGUUUGCUUGCAAACCAAAGCUGGCGACCGGCGCACGGGUGAGUAACACGUAUCCAACCUGCCUCAUACUCGGGGAUAGCCUUUCGAAAGAAAGAUUAAUAUCCGAUAGCAUAUAUUUCCCGCAUGGGUUUUAUAUUAAAGAAAUUCGGUAUGAGAUGGGGAUGCGUUCCAUUAGUUUGUUGGGGGGGUAACGGCCCACCAAGACUACGAUGGAUAGGGGUUCUGAGAGGAAGGUCCCCCACAUUGGAACUGAGACACGGUCCAAACUCCUACGGGAGGCAGCAGUGAGGAAUAUUGGUCAAUGGACGCGAGUCUGAACCAGCCAAGUAGCGUGAAGGAUGACUGCCCUAUGGGUUGUAAACUUCUUUUAUAUGGGAAUAAAGUUGUCCACGUGUGGAUUUUUGUAUGUACCAUAUGAAUAAGGAUCGGCUAACUCCGUGCCAGCAGCCGCGGUAAUACGGAGGAUCCGAGCGUUAUCCGGAUUUAUUGGGUUUAAAGGGAGCGUAGGCGGAUUGUUAAGUCAGUUGUGAAAGUUUGCGGCUCAACCGUAAAAUUGCAGUUGAUACUGGCAGUCUUGAGUGCAGUAGAGGUGGGCGGAAUUCGUGGUGUAGCGGUGAAUGCUUAGAUAUCACGAAGACUCCGAUUGCGAAGGCAGCUCACUGGAGUGUAACUG